rnacentral:tRNA from 1 species
GUGGCUGUAGUAUAAGGGUUAGUACUCCAGAUUGUGAAUCUGAAAAUGGGGGUUCGAGUCCCCUCGGUCACA